AUUGAACGCUGGCGGCAUGCCUUACACAUGCAAGUCGAACGGUAACGGGCCUUCGGGUGCCGACGAGUGGCGAACGGGUGAGUAAUGCAUCGGAACGUACCAUUGAGUGGGGGAUAACGUAGCGAAAGUUACGCUAAUACCGCAUAUUCUGUGAGCAGGAAAGCAGGGGAUCGCAAGACCUUGAGCUCUUUGCGCGGCCGGUGUCGGAUUAGCUAGUUGGUGGGGUAAAGGUCCACCAAGGGUACGAUCCGUAGCGGGUCUGAGAGGAUGAUCCGCCACACUGGGACUGAGACACGGCCCAGACUCCUACGGGAGGCAGCAGUGGGGAAUUUUGGACAAUGGGGGCAACCCUGAUCCAGCCAUGCCGCGUGAGUGAAGAAGGCCUUCGGGUUGUAAAGCUCUUUCGGCCGGGAAGAAAUCGUGUGGGCUAAUACCCUGCAUGGAUGACGGUACCGGAAUAAGAAGCACCGGCUAACUACGUGCCAGCCGCCGCAGUAAUAC
rnacentral:rRNA from 1 species